ACAGCUCAGUCGGUAAAGCAUGGGACUCUUAAUCUCAGGGCCAUGGGUUCAAGCCCCACCAUGGGCAAUA